AUUUACCGUUGUCCAUGUCCAUUAUCAAUCGAUCCGUAUUCGAAUACACCAAGUACCAACCUCUCUUCCCUUCAUUUCUCGUACCUCGGGGCGAUUCAAGCUCCGCUUACCUGAGAUCUUUUUUCCACUCUCGCAUUCCCUCACUUUCUUAUUCUACGAUUAGCAUUUCAAUUCCGAUUUCAAUUUAAUUUGAAUUUCAAUUUGGAUAAUCUUCAGUUCUAACUCUUGAUUGUCGGCAGAUUUCAUCUGUAAAAAUGCCUCUUCGUCUCAAUAUUAAGAGGAAACUUGCUCAAAGAUCGGAGAGGGUAAAGUCUGUGGAUCUGCAUCCUACAGAGCCAUGGAUUUUAGCGAGUCUUUAUUCUGGAACUGUUGUUAUUUGGGACUACCAAUCACAAACCAUGGCAAAGUCUUUUGAAGCUUGCGAAUUACCGGUUAGAUCCGCAAAGUUUAUUCCCCGGAAACAAUGGGUUGUUGCUGGGGCAGAUGACAUGUUUAUACGUGUGUACAAUUACAAUACUAUGGAUAAAGUAAAAGUAUUUGAAGCACAUACUGAUUAUAUUAGGUGUGUAGCUGUGCAUCCCACACUCCCGUAUGUGCUUUCAUCAUCUGAUGAUAUGCUUAUUAAGCUAUGGGAUUGGGAAAAGGGUUGGAUAUGCACUCAAAUAUUUGAAGGGCAUUCCCACUAUGUGAUGCAAGUCACCUUCAACCCCAAGGACACAAACACCUUUGCUAGUGCCUCCCUUGACCGCACCAUAAAGAUAUGGAAUCUGGGCUCACCUGAUCCAAAUUUUACUUUGGACGCUCAUGUUAAAGGGGUAAAUUGUGUUGACUACUUUACUGGCGGUGACAAACCUUACUUGAUUACUGGUUCCGAUGACCAUACGGCCAAGGUCUGGGACUAUCAGACAAAAAGCUGUGUUCAAACUCUGGAAGGGCACACACAUAAUGUUUCUGCUGUGUGCUUUCAUCCUGAACUUCCCAUAAUUAUAACUGGUUCUGAGGAUGGAACAGUUCGUAUAUGGCAUUCCACUACAUACAGGCUAGAGAAUACUUUAAACUAUGGUCUUGAAAGGGUUUGGGCUAUAGGAUACAUGAAGGGUUCCCGUCGCGUUGUGAUAGGAUAUGACGAAGGGACCAUCAUGGUUAAGAUGGGUCGUGAAAUACCUGUUGCUAGUAUGGAUAAUAGUGGAAAAAUAAUUUGGGCCAAGCAUAACGAGAUCCAAACUGUGGAUAUCAGGCGUGUUGGUGCUGGUUACGAGGUGACAGAUGGUGAAAGGUUGCCAUUGGCAGUCAAGGAGUUGGGUUCCUGUGAUCUUUACCCACAGUACUUAAAGCACAACCCAAAUGGGAGGUUUGUUGUGGUUUGUGGAGAUGGAGAGUACAUCAUAUAUACUGCUGUUGCUUGGAGGAAUAGGUCUUUUGGUUCAGCAUUGGAGUUUGUCUGGUCAUCUGAUGGAGAAUAUGCUGUUAGAGAAAGCACUUCCAAGAUCAAGAUUUUCAGCAAAAACUUCCAGGAGAAGAAGAGUAUCAGACCAACUUUUUCUGCAGAGCGGAUUUAUGGUGGAACUUUGUUGGCUAUGUGUUCUAAUGAUUUCAUUUGCUUCUAUGACUGGGCUGACUGCAGAUUUAUUCGAAGGAUUGAUGUCAAUGUUAAAAAUCUCUACUGGGCUGAUAGCGGUGAUUUGGUAGCUAUUGCUAGCGACUCAUCUUUCUACAUCCUCAAGUAUAAUCGUGAUGUUGUGUCUUCCCACCUGGAUAGUGGAAGGCCGAUUGAUGAACAAGGUGUGGAGGAUGCCUUUGAGCUUCUACAUGAAACAAAUGAACGUGUGAGGACAGGAAUAUGGGUUGGAGAUUGUUUCCUAUACAAUAAUUCCUCCUGGAGGCUUAAUUACUGUGUUGGUGGUGAGGUAACGACAAUGUUUCACUUGGACCGUCCAAUGUACCUAUUGGGCUACCUUGCAAGUCAAAGUCGUGUAUAUCUUAUUGACAAAGAAUUCAAUGUGAUAGGAUACACAUUACUCCUUAGCUUGAUUGAAUACAAGACUCUUGUAAUGCGUGGGGAUUUUGAACGUGCCAAUGUAAUUUUGCCUACAAUUCCAAAGGAGCAACAUAAUAGUGUGGCCCGUUUCCUUGAAUCACGUGGUAUGGUCGCAGAGGCUCUUGAAGUGGCAACUGACCCUGAUUAUAGGUUUGAGCUUGCCAUUCAGCUUGGCAAAUUAGAAGCUGCGAAGGAGAUAGCUACAGAACUUCAAAGUGAGUCAAAGUGGAAGCAGUUGGGAGAAUUGGCCAUGUCGACAGGAAAGUUUGAAAUGGCAGAGGAGUGCCUGAAGCAUGCAAUGGAUUUUAGUGGCAUGUUGCUGCUUUAUUCUUCAAUCGGAGAUGCUGAGGGAAUCGCAAAACUUGCUUCCCAAGCUAAAGAGCAUGGAAAAAACAAUGUUGCUUUCCUAUGCUUGUUCAUGUUGGGUAAGCGGGAAGAAUGUAUUCAGCUAUUGGUAGACAGUAACCGAAUACCCGAGGCUGCUUUGAUGGCACGUUCUUAUCUUCCUAGUAAAGUUUCAGAAAUUGUUGCAUUAUGGAGAAAGGAUUUGAACAAGGUUAAUCCAAAGGCUGCAGAAUCUUUGGCAGAUCCUGAGGAGUAUCCUAAUUUGUUUGAUGAUUGGCAAAUUGCUCUUGCUGUUGAGUCCAAAGUUGCUGAAACAAGAGGCAACUUUCCUCCUGCUGAGCAAUAUUUGCAAUAUGCUGAGAAAUCAAAAACCGAUCUUGUUGAAGCUUUUAAGAGCAUGCAGAUAGAGGAAGAUCAACCUCUUGAAAAUGGAGACACGGACACAGUACACGUAGAUACCAAGCUGCAUGUUGACGAGAAUGGAGAGGAUGAAGGUCAAGAAGAGGGUGUUGUUGUAGAUGCUGAUUCUAACGAUGGUGCUGUGCUCGUCAAUGGUAACGAAACUGAAGAAUGGGGUACGGAUAAUGACGGUACUCCAUCAGCUUAGGGCAACUGGUUGGGCCAAUGUUGAAAUCCAAAUUUUGUCUCUGUGCUUACUCAACAUCCAUAAAGUCCCUUGUGAAACUGCUGGUUUUGACUCUGUACAUCCUUGCUUUGAGGUUUUUGUGCGAGUGGUUUUACAGCACCUGGAAAUUCCAAUCGAAGGCCACAUUCCAGAUAUAUAUUUUCGUUUCUUAGUUAUUUUUCAUAGGACAUUCUUUGUGGCCGCCUUCGUACUAUCCCCUAAAGUUACUAGGAUCCUAAAGACUAAAGUAUAAUACAAAUUGCAUUGUGAAUGUAGAAAGCUUUUUUUGUUCUCAUUCGAUGUAGUAUGUCAUGGUUAGAGCAGUCCAUUACACAUCUGAUUCAGUACAAGGAUAUGGUUUGCAAGUAAUCCGGCUCAGUUUAGUGAGAUUUCUAGAGAGGCUUGUCGUCAAAGCAUUGCCGGAAAAGCAGAGCUGAUUAUUGUUUUGAUCCCUUUCUCUUAGCGUGUAAUAGAGUUUUGUUCCAUUAGAGUAAGUUAAUAAACUUGUAUUUUUACUGAUUUGUUUAAUCACAAAUUUUCAAAUUUUCAAGCA